GAUGAACGCUGGCGGCGUGCCUAAUACAUGCAAGUCGAGCGCGAGAGUGAGGAGCUUGCUCCUCAUAAUCGAGCGGCGGACGGGUGAGUAACACGUAGGCAACCUACCCUUGAGAUUGGGAUAACUACCGGAAACGGUAGCUAAUACCGGAUACGACUUUUCCACACAAGUGGAAUGGUUAAAAGGCGGAUUUAUCUGCCGCUCAUGGAUGGGCCUGCGGUGCAUUAGCUAGUUGGUGAGGUAGUGGCUCACCAAGGCGACGAUGCAUAGCCGACCUGGGAGGGUGAUCGGCCACACUGGGACUGAGACACGGCCCAGACUCCUACGGGAGGCAGCAGUAGGGAAUCUUCCGCAAUGGACGCAAGUCUGACGGAGCAACGCCGCGUGAGUGAUGAAGGGUUUCGGCUCGUAAAACUCUGUUGUUAAGGAAGAACACUUGAGGUAGUAACUGGCCUUGAGAUGACGGUACUUAACCAGAAAGCCACGGCUAACUACGUGCCAGCAGCCGCGGUAA
rnacentral:rRNA from 1 species